rnacentral:rRNA from 1 species
CCUACGGGAGGCAGCAGUGGGGAAUAUUGCACAAUGGGGGAAACCCUGAUGCAGCGACGCCGCGUGAGUGAAGAAGUAUCUCGGUACGUAAAGCUCUAUCAGCAGGGAAGAAAAUGACGGUACCUGACUAAGAAGCCCCGGCUAACUACGUGCCAGCAGCCGCGGUAAUACGUAGGGGGCAAGCGUUAGCCGGAUUUACUGGGUGUAAAGGGAGCGUAGACGGCAGCGCAAGUCUGGAGUGAAAUGCCGGGGCCCAACCCCGGAACUGCACUGGAAACUGGGAAGCGGGAGUGCAGGAGAGGUAAGCGGAAUUCCUGGUGUAGCAGUGAAAUCCGUAGAUAUCUGGAGGAACAUCAGUGGCGAAGGCGACUAUCUGGCACAUAACUGACGCUGAGGAGCGAAAGCGUGGGUAGCAAACAGGAUUAGAUACCCGGGUAGUC